AUGAACGCUAGCGGCAGGCUUAACACAUGCAAGUCGAGGGGCAGCACGGGUAGCAAUAUCUGGUGGCGACCGGCGCAAGGGUGCGUAACGCGUGAGCAACAUGCCCGUAUCAGGGGGAUAAUCCAGGGAAACUUGGUCUAAUACCCCAUAGCAAUUAAAGGAGGCAUCUUUUUAAUUUAAAGCUUUGGUGGAUACGGAUUGGCUCGCGUGACAUUAGCUAGAUGGUAAGGUAACGGCUUACCAUGGCUACGAUGUCUAGGGGUUCUGAGAGGAAGAUCCCCCACACUGGAACUGAGACACGGUCCAGACUCCUACGGGAGGCAGCAGUGAGGAAUAUUGGACAAUGGAUGGAAAUCUGAUCCAGCCAUGCCGCGUGCAGGAAGACGGCCCUAUGGGUUGUAAACUGCUUUUGUAUGGGAGCAAUAGGGUCUAUGCGUAGACUGAUGAGAGUACCAUACGAAUAAGCAUCGGCUAACUCCGUG
rnacentral:rRNA from 1 species